rnacentral:rRNA from 1 species
GACGAACUCUGGCGGCGUGCUUAACACAUGCAAGUCGAACGAAGUGGCGAACGGGUGAGUAACGGGUAAUCAACCUGCCCUUCAGAGGGGGACAACAGUUGGAAACGACUACCAAUAACCCAUACUGUGUGUGGGGACUGCGUCUGAUUAGCUAGUGGGAGGGGUACUGGCCCCCCAAGGCAAUGUUCAGUAGCCGGUCUGAGAGGAUGAACGGACACAUUGGGACUGAGACACGGCCCAGACUCCUACGGGAGGCAGCAGUGGGGAAUCUUCCGCAAUGGACGAAAGUCUGACGGAGCAACGCCGCGUGAGUGAUGAAGGCCUUCGGGUUGUAAAGCUCUGUUAAUCGGGACGCGGUACCGGAAUAGAAGGCAACGGUUAACUACGUGCCAGAGCCGCGGUAAUUC